rnacentral:rRNA from 1 species
CCUACGGGGCGCAGCAGGCGCGAAAACUUUACAAUGUGCGAAAGCACGAUAAGGGAAUUCUGAGUGCCUCCUAAGGAGGCUGUUCAGAUGUUUAAAAAGCAUCUGGAGGAAGGGCUGGGUAAGACCGGUGCCAGCCGCCGCGGUAACACCGGCAGCCCAAGUGGUAGUCAUGCUUACUGGGUCUAAAGCGUCCGUAGCCGGCCAGGUAAGUUCCUUGGGAAAUUUGAUCGCUUAACGAUCAAGCUACCUGGGAAUACUACCUGGCUUGGGACCGGGAGAGGUCAGAGGUACCUCAAGGGUAAGGGUGAAAUCCGUUAAUCCUUGGGGGACCACCGGUAGCGAAGGCGUCUGACCAGACCGGAUCCGACGGUGAGGGACGAAGGCUAGGGGAGCGAAGCGGAUUAGAUACCCGCGUAGUCCUGGCUGUAAACGAUGCGGGCUAAGUGUUGGUAUUACUGCGAGUGAUGCCAGUGCCGAAGGGAAGCCGUUAAGCCCGCCAUCUGGGGAGUACGGUCGCAAGGCUGAAACUUAAAGGAAUUGGCGGGGGAGCACCACAACGGGUGGAGCUUGCGGUUCAAUUGGAUUCAACGCCGGAAAUCUCACCGGAGGGGACAGCGAGAUGAAGGUCAGGCUAAAGACCUUACCAGAUUAGCUGAGAGGAGGUGCAUGGCCAA